rnacentral:rRNA from 1 species
UAAUGGGUCAGCGACUUAUAUUCUGUAGCAAGGUUAACCGAAUAGGGGAGCCGAAGGGAAACCGAGUCUUAACUGGGCGUUAAGUUGCAGGGUAUAGACCCGAAACCCGGUGAUCUAGCCAUGGGCAGGUUGAAGGUUGGGUAACACUAACUGGAGGACCGAACCGACUAAUGUUGAAAAAUUAGCGGAUGACUUGUGGCUGGGGGUGAAAGGCCAAUCAAACCGGGAGAUAGCUGGUUCUCCCCGAAAGCUAUUUAGGUAGCGCCUCGUGAAUUCAUCUCCGGGGGUAGAGCACUGUUUCGGCAAGGGGGUCAUCCCGACUUACCAACCCGAUGCAAACUGCGAAUACCGGAGAAUGUUAUCACGGGAGACACACGGCGGGUGCUAACGUCCGUCGUGAAGAGGGAAACAACCCAGACCGCCAGCUAAGGUCCCAAAGUCAUGGUUAAGUGGGAAACGAUGUGGGAAGGCCCAGACAGCCAGGAUGUUGGCUUAGAAGCAGCCAUCAUUUAAAGAAAGCGUAAUAGCUCACUGGUCGAGUCGGCCUGCGCGGAA